rnacentral:lncRNA from 1 species
UCCCAGCCGGCGUUGUUGCUCUCCCUCUCUGCAAGGCAGCGUGUGGCAGCCGGCUGGAGAGUAAGCAGGGCGCGUUGGCCGGUGGGAGUAGAGUGGCUGCUCUUCUCUCCCUCCCAGAUCUCCACCCCCUCGGCUCCGGCUCACUCGCCUCUGGCCGACGAGGAGGGCCACGGGCGGAGCGAAGCGAAGCGGCGGACGGGCGAGCGAGGCGGGUGGGCGGGGAGCAAACCAACGGCGACCUCUUUCCCUCCCGCAUGCAUCCCGUUGUCUCUCCGCUCCCCUCUUGCGUGGAUCUGCCACCGGCGCCUGGAUCCCAUCCUCUCCGCCCUCCCCUCGCGCGGAUCCGCCAUUGGCGUUGACGGGAGGGGUGGAUCCGGUGACCUCUUCUCCUCCCGCAUGGAUCCCGUCAUCUCCCCGCUCCCUGCUCGCGCGGAUCCGCCGCUAGCGACAACGGGAGGGGCGGACCCAGCAGCGUCUCCUACGGUGACUACAACGAUUGGUGGACGUGGGCUGACCCAGUUCCCGGCAUCUGCUGCGGCGGCGACAGCGGAGUUGCCGAGGAUGGCAUCACGUGCGACUUCCUGCUCAAGCUGCUCCGGGCGGGGAGCAUGGUGGGUGCCGACGCGGCUCUGCUGCAGGAGCUGGAAUCCAGGGCGGUGCAUACCUCGCCUACAUGGAAGCACACCAGAUAAGCACAUGGAUUUUGUUGGGCUACUGUGUUGUAACACAAGUUUGCCAAACAUUUAUGUGGCAUCAACAUCUAUCUUGGAAGUUGAAGCUGUAGAUAAACAUUAUCAACAACAAAAGCAGGAUGUAUCUUCUCGAAAACAACGGAAAAAGAUUUGGAUACAUAUUGGUAUGAGCAGACAGACCUCAAUCCCUGCACUGCACAACUGCAUUGCUCUUCGCAGGUUGAGUUCAUUGAUAACCUGAAAUCGACAUUGAUUGGAGGUGCCUUGACGUCCUAGAGGAAGAGCCUUACGAUCUAUAUUUUCUUGUAUUUUGGCCUGAGAAAAAAAUCUGUACAAUCAUGUUAGUGGGAGUGCUAGCUAAAAAUAGUGGAAAGAAAAGCGGGAUAGAAUCUGACUCGAGAUAGAAUAUGACUCCUGAAAGCUGGAGUAGGAAACAGUGUGGGGGAACCAGCCUGACUCGACGAAAGAAAAGCGGGAUAUAAUCUGACUCGGGGUAGAAUCUGACUCCUGACGUGGGCUGGGCAAAUUCCCUGACGUGGGUAUAUUCCUGUGUUCUAUUUUGAACCUGAUUUGUGCGUGAACCUGAACCUAGGCUCCUGUGUUAUUUUUUGUUUUUUAUUUGUUCCUGGACUCCUGUGUUUUUGAACCUGAUUUGUAUGUGAACCUGAACCUGGACUACUGUGUUUUUUUUGUUUUUGUAUUUGUUCCUGAACUCAUGUAUUUUUGCAUGGGCUUGUGGGCUUGUAGAUGGACCUAGAAUCUUUUUUUUUGGAUGAAGGAGUAGGGGCUUCUAGAUGGACCUGAAAUCCUGGAAUCUGUUUUGGGCUUGUGGUGCAUUAAUCUAACCAGAAUCGAACCAGAAUCGGAAAGUAGCGCAUCGGAUGAAAAUUAGCACAUAAUGACGGACGAAGACGCGCGAUUACAGAGAUGUGACGACAGAAAAAAUACUAAUAUUUAUAUUAGUUAAGAUUAAGAUAUGUGGGCCAUGUGCCCACUUCGAGAUUAAAUUUAUUUUUUUGGGGGAAGGCUCACCGCCACUGGGGCCCUCGCGCGUCGCCCAGGCGUAGCACUGCUGCCCGGGCCUGGCGCACCCCAACCAAACCCAGUUCUAAGAUUUGUUUAAUCCAUUGGUCUUGGGCC